rnacentral:rRNA from 1 species
CCUACGGGUGGCAGCAGUGAGGAAUAUUGGUCAAUGGGCGCGAGACUGAACCAGCCAAGUAGCGUGAAGGAUGACUGCCCUACGGGUUGUAAACUUCUUUUAUAAAGGAAUAAAGUGAGGCACGUGUGCCUUUUUGUAUGUACUUUAUGAAUAAGGAUCGGCUAACUCCGUGCCAGCAGCCGCGGUAAUAAGGAGGAUCCGAGCGUUAUCCGGUUUUAUUGGGUGUAAAGGGAGCGUAGAUGGGUUGUUAAGUCAGUUGUGAAAGUUUGCGGCUCAACCGUAAAAUUGCAAUUGAUACUGGCAGUCUUGAGUACAGUUGAGGUAGGCGGAAUUCGUGGUGUAGCGGUGAAAUGCUUAGAUAUCACGAAGAACUCCGAUUGCGAAGGCAGCUUACUAAACUGCCACUGACAUUGAUGCUCGAAAGUGUGGGUAUCAAACAGGAUUAGAUACCCGGGUAGUC